AAAGCCUCUAGCGAGUGUCAUUAUGGCCCGUACCCUAAACCGACACAGGUAGUCAGGUAGAGAAUACUAAGGCGAUCGGGUGAACUGUGGUUAAGGAACUCGGCAAAAUGCCCCGUAACUUCGGGAGAAGGGGGACCAUUGUUGGUGACAGACUGAUGGAGCUGACGGUGGUCGCAGAGAAUAGAGGGAAGCGACUGUUUAUUAAAAACACAG
rnacentral:rRNA from 1 species